GGUUUUAUAGUUUAUAAAAAACUGUUAAAUUGCAAAUUUGAUAAUACAAUUAAUUGUUAAAACCU
rnacentral:tRNA from 1 species